rnacentral:rRNA from 1 species
UACGUAGGGGGCAAGCGUUGUCCGAAAUCAUUGGGCGUAAAGAGCGUGUAGGCGGCCAGAAAAGUCCGCUGUGAAAACUCGAGGCUCAACUUCGAGCUGUCGGUGGAAACUUUCUGGCUAGAGUCCGGAAGAGGAGAAUGGAAUUCCUGGUGUAGCGGUGAAAUGCGCAGAUAUCAGGAAGAACACCCGUGGCGAAGGCGGUUCUCUGGGACGGUACUGACGCUGAGACGCGAAAGCGUGGGGAGCGAACAGG